UACGGAGGGGGCUAGCGUUGCUCGGAAUCACUGGGCGUAAAGGGCGCGUAGGCGGCGUUUUUAAGUCGGGGGUGAAAGCCUGUGGCUCAACCACAGAAUGGCCUUCGAUACUGGGACGCUUGAGUAUGGUAGAGGUUGGUGGAACUGCGAGUGUAGAGGUGAAAUUCGUAGAUAUUCGCAAGAACACCAGUGGCGAAGGCGGCUCACUGGCCCGAUACUGACGCUGAGGCACGAAAGCGUGGGGAGCAAACAGG
rnacentral:rRNA from 1 species